rnacentral:hammerhead_ribozyme from 1 species
AUCCAGCUGACGAGUCAAAAAUAAGACGAAAUGGCGCGCGUCCUGAAU